rnacentral:rRNA from 1 species
UACAGAGGGGGCAAGCGUUGUUCGGAAUUACUGGGCGUAAAGGGCGCGUAGGCGGCCAACUAAGUCGGACGUGAAAUCCCUCAGCUUAACUGGGGAACUGCGUCCGAUACUGGAUGGCUUGGAUUUGGGAGAGGGAUGCGGAAUUCCAGGUGUAGCGGUGAAAUGCGUAGAUAUCUGGAGGAACACCGGUGGCGAAGGCGGCAUCCUGGACCAAUAUUGACGCUGAGGAGCGAAAGCCAGGGGAGCAAACGGG